CCCUUAGAUGUUCUGGGCAGCACGCGCGCUACAAUGGUCUUCGCAAACGGAUGCAUUCUCGAAGGAGAAUGCCAAUCUUGGAAUCUAUGCCUUGGUCGGGACAGUUGCUUGCAAUUUUUCGACUCGAACCAGGAAUUCCUUGUAAUCGUGAUUCAUCACAUCACGAUGAAUACGUCCCAGCCCUUUGUACACACCGCCCGUCGCUCCUACCGAUCGAAGAGUUAGGUGAAUUGUUUUGAUCGAUAAGAUUUGACUAUGGUCAACUCUCGUUGUGAAAUUCUGUGAAUCUGACUGUUUAGAGGAAGGAAAAGUCGUAACA
rnacentral:rRNA from 1 species